rnacentral:tRNA from 1 species
UGGGAUAUAGCUCAAUGGUAGAGCACCCGACUGUUAAUCGGGACGUUGUGGGUUCAAGUCCCACUAUUCCAG